rnacentral:rRNA from 1 species
CGAAGAACCUUACCAGGCCUUGACAUGCAGAGAACUUUCCAGAGAUGGAUUGGUGCCUUCGGGAACUCUGACACAGGUGCUGCAUAGCUGUCGUCAGCUCGUGUCGUGAGAUGUUGGGUUAAGUCCCGCAACGAGCGCAACCCUUGCCUUUAGUUGCCAGCAGUUCGGCUGGGCACUCUAAAGGGACUGCCGGUGUUAAACCGGAGGAAGGUGGGGAUGACGUCAAGUCCUCAUGGCCUUUAUGACCAGGGCUACACACGUACUACAAUGGCCGAUACAAAGGGCAGCGACACUGCGAGGUGAAGCCAAUCCCGUAAAAUCGGUCUCAGUCCGGAUUGGAGUCUGCAACUCGACUCCAUGAAGUUGGAAUCGCUAGUAAUCGUGGAUCAGCAUGCCACGGUGAAUACGUUCCCGGGCCUU